rnacentral:rRNA from 1 species
UACGUAGGUGGCAAGCGUUGUCCGGAUUUACUGAGCGUAAAGAGCGCGCAGGCGGUCGUGCAAGUCGAGUGUGAAAGCCCCCGGCUCAACUGGGGAGGGUCAUUCGAUACUGAUCGACUCGAAGGCAGGAGAGGGUAGUGGAAUUCCCGGUGUAGUGGUGAAAUGCGUAGAUAUCGGGAGGAACACCAGUGGCGAAGGCGACUACCUGGCCUGUUCUUGACGCUGAGGCGCGAAAGCUAGGGGAGCAAACGGG